GACGUAGGGCGCGAGCGUUGUCCGGAUUUAUUGGGCGUAAAGAGCUCGUAGGCGGCUUGUCGCGUCGUCCGUGAAAACUUGGGGGCUCAACCCCAAGCUUGCGGUCGAUACGGGCGACUGGAGUUCGGCAGGGAGGAGCUGGAAUUCCUGUGUAGCGGUGGAAAUGCGCAGAUAUCAGGAGGAACACCGGUGGCGAAGGCGGGUCUCUGGGCCGAUACUGACGCUGAGGAGCGAAAGCGUGGGGAGCGAACAGG
rnacentral:rRNA from 1 species